CCCUCUUGCUCUCAUCUCCUGGAGGCGAAUCGGCAAACAAAGAGACAGAAAGCAAGGGAGAGAGUGCUGAGAGUAAGAUAAAGAAGGAGACAGAGACUGGAGAACUGUGUGAAGGAAUAAAAGAAGGAAAGGGAGGAAGCGGAGGAAUGGGAGAUGGAGGAGCAGGCCAGGUCCCUAAAAGUUUUAGCUUAAAUGGCACUCUCUCAUCUGAAGCAAAAGAAUUACAUGUGCCAGGGACGGUCCGAACAGCCCCCACGGUAGUGACAAAUGUGGUUAGACCUGUAACCAGUGCCCCCAUUACAAUAGCCAGCAAGCCUGCUGAAAUGGGCAUGCCUCUUGGGGCUCCAUCCCCUGAUGGGAAGUCCAAGCUUCUGAUUGGUGGGGGAGGAGCAGCAGGAAGUGGGGCCAUUGCAGGGUGUGGGUAUUUUUCUGCCUCGUCUCCCAAACCUGUCGGGCAAGGAGGGUUAGUCACAGGUUUAGUACUUGGAGGAGCAUUCCCGAACCCACCCACUGUUCAGCUCAUAACCCCGCCCCAACCCUUGCAAGGCACCACCACUAUUAACGGAGCCUCCAACAACAGCACCAUGCCCCUCCCUCUGCUUCAGCCUCAAUUCCUCCCAGCAGCUUCACUCACCCCCCUACCAAUGGCAAACAAGUCACCCAGGUGCAGUACAUCCUUCCAACUCUACCAGCCACAGCCACCCUAAACAGCCCCUCUUCACAGCAGACCCACCAGUCAGCCGGUGUUCUUGCCCUGCCCACCGCCCUGCCAACACACUUAUCAUUGUCUAAUGGAUUGCAUGCAGGGGCUGGGCCCGGGAUGAGAUAUGCCUCAAUGCCAGCAGUGGGAGGGGUCAGCCCAGGAGGAAGAGCACGGUCUCCAGUCUUACAAAACAAGAUGCUAGUUCCCAUGACAACAGUAAGACCAGGAUCAACACCUCCACAGCCCAUUUCCCUAGUGGCCCAGCCUCUUCCUGUUCAAAAUGGGGUGCAACCUGGAAGUAAGCUCAUUCAGAUUGCCCCAAUGCCAGUGGUCCAAACCAAUGUCCAGCCUGCACGAACGGUACACCCUGCUGCCUCCUUCCCGGUCUCUAUGGCAACAGCAACUGUCAUGACCUCAGGUGGCACAUCUCCUCAGACAGUGUUACUGACUCCAUCUGCUACGAGUUCAAGGACAAGUGUGCAUCUGUCAGCAUCUAGUGAAAGGAAAAACAUCAAUAUAAGUAGGCUGCCAGUAAUAACACACGGG
ensembl:lncRNA